UAAGAAGUAGCAUAUAUAGUGUUUUUUGCUUACACCAAAAAGGAAAUUUAAGAGUUCUUCUUAU
rnacentral:tRNA from 1 species